UGGGGAAUUUUGGACAAUGGGGGAAACCCUGAUCGAGCCAUCCCGCGUGUGCGAUGAAGGCCUUCGGGUUGUAAAGCACUUUUGGCAGGAAAGAAACGUCAUGGGUUAAUACCCCGUGAAACUGACGGUACCUGCAGAAUAAGCACCGGCUAACUACGUGCCAGCAGCCGCGGUAAUACGUAGGGUGCAAGCGUUAAUCGGAAUUACUGGGCGUAAAGCGUGCGCAGGCGGUUCGGAAAGAAAGAUGUGAAAUCCCAGAGCUCAACUUUGGAACUGCAUUUUUAACUACCGGGCUAGAGUGUGUCAGAGGGAGGUGGAAUUCCGCGUGUAGCAGUGAAAUGCGUAGAUAUGCGGAGGAACACCGAUGGCGAAGGCAGCCUCCUGGGAUAACACUGACGCUCAUGCACGAAAGCGUGGGGAGCAAACAGG
rnacentral:rRNA from 1 species